CACAGUACACUUUUUGGGUAAUAAUGAACGUAAAAUAUAUAUCUGGUUAUUUCAAUACGGUAUGUGUCAUCUUCAUUUCCUUCUAAAUCAAAGAUAAGUAUCCAUUUUGCAGAGAAAAUAAUUAGAACAUAUUUGCCUUUCACUUUAUGAAGUACUUUCAUUAGUUUAAAUAACAUCAUCUGAUUUGAUCCUUGCACCAAGUCUGAGAUGUAGGAUGGUUACCAAAGCACUUCUCUUGAUUUUACAGUGAGGAAACUUAGGCUCAAGUUGACACUCAAGCUCACCUUGCAAGAUAGUGGCAGAGCUGAUAAGUUCAAUGCUCUUUCUGUCAUCCCAUGCUGCCAUAAAUAUCGCCUUCCUCUACCUUUAGUUUGCUGCUUCUAAUCUAAUGGACUUGGGAGAAGCAACUUACGAGAAUGGUAUGUAAGCCAAGAGCAAA
rnacentral:lncRNA from 1 species